GUGGGGAAUAUUGGACAAUGGACGAAAGCCUGAUCCAGCCAUGCCGCGUGUGUGAAGAAGGUCUUCGGAUUGUAAAGCACUUUAAGUUGGGAGGAAGGGCAGUAAGUUAAUACCUUGCUGUUUUGACGUUACCGACAGAAUAAGCACCGGCUAACUUCGUGCCAGCAGCCGCGGUAAUACGAAGGGUGCAAGCGUUAAUCGGAAUUACUGGGCGUACAGCGCGCGUAGGUGGUUUUGUAAGUUGGAGGUGAAAUCCCCGGGCUCAACCUGUGAACUGCCUCCAAAACUGCAUGACUAGAGUACGGUAGAGGGUAGUGGAAUUUCCUGUGUAGCGGUGAAAUGCGUAGAUAUAGGAAGGAACACCAGUGGCGAAGGCGACUACCUGGACUGAUACUGACACUGAGGUGCGAAAGCGUGGGGAGCAAACAGGAUUAGAUACCCGUGUAGUCC
rnacentral:rRNA from 1 species